GGGCUUAAGGUAGUUUGAGACCCCUAGGAGCUUGAAUGCAUGUUUUGGUUGAGCUAAAUGCAUGUUGGUUUGAGUUUGGAGGCAAUUGUGCAUGUUUGAACCGAGUUUCUGCCCUUUGGGAGAAACCAGGUUCGGCAGCCGAAGGGACUUUCGGCCGCCGAACCCUCUUGUGGAGGCAGCCUUCGGCUGCCGAAGCUUGCCCCCGAAAAGAGACUUUCGU
rnacentral:lncRNA from 1 species